UACGAAGGGGGCUAGCGUUGCUCGGAAUCACUGGGCGUAAAGCGCACGUAGGCGGCUUUCUAAGUCAGGGGUGAAAUCCUGGAGCUCAACUCCAGAACUGCCUUUAAUACUGGGGAGCUCGAGUCCGGAAGAGGUGAGUGGAACUCCGAGUGUAGAGGUGAAAUUCGUAGAUAUUCGGAAGAACACCAGUGGCGAAGGCGGCUCACUGGUCCGGUACUGACGCUGAGGUGCGAAAGCGUGGGGAGCAAACAGG
rnacentral:rRNA from 1 species